GCUCUUCUCCGGUCUUGUCGGCGGGGGCGGGGUUAUCAGUACCUAGUGGACUGGGAGGGUUAUGGACCUGAGGAGCGCUCCUGGGUGCCCUCCAGGUUCAUCCUGGAUCGAGCCCUCAUUUCGCAAUUUCACCGUGAUCACCCUGGGCAGCCUGGGGGACCGUCCGGUGCCGGUCCCUAGGUGGGGGGCACUGUCAUGGUUCUGCUCUGCUCCUUCACCCCUCCCUUCCUUCCUCCACUCUAAUUUCUUUCACCUGUGUUAAUUAAGUUCUCAUUGUGCUCCAGUUGGUGUUCACACUAUUUAAGAUCCUCACUUUCACCUCCUCACUGCCAGUUCGUUGAAUCAGUCACGUUCCAGCUAGUAACAAACCUUGCACUUUUAGUCUUUUCAUGUUUUUGACCCUUUUCUGGCCUGGUAACGAGUUUAAGCCUGUCCCCUGUCUGGAGUUUUUCUGCCCUGGUUUUUCCUCCUCCGUUUCCAUCCUGAAGAGGCGUGACGUUUCCAGUUCCCUCAUCUCAACACGGAGUAAAGCUGCCCCAACACUGGUCUUCACCCUCCGGUGGAUUCUCACCCUGUACACAGCAGCAGUGGGGGAAUCUUCCAUCAUUCCUGACACCAUCCACCCUGCACUCGGACGCUUCAAAGGCUCUUCUCUCACGUCUGCUUCUGGAGUUCUAAGCUCACCUGUGCAUCUGGCGGCCCACUGAUUAAUUCUACCUCCCUAAUAAACACUUUAAUUGUGACCUGUGUUUGCUCUGUUUGGGUUGUCCUCCCUAUUUCCUAACACUGUCACACAUAUAAAGAAAAAAAAAAAGACAAAAUUAACAAAAUCAAGACUUGACACUAGUUCUAGCAAAAAAAAAAAAA